rnacentral:lncRNA from 1 species
CUGAUGCGCUGCAAGUAUACAGCCUUGCCGCGUGUAGUUUUAAAAGAUUAUCGAUCCCACAGAGACCAAUAGUCGACCUACCGUUAUCUAAUGUUACGUUUGUAAAUCUAAGGCUAAAUAGUAAAUAGUAGUAGAAUUUUUAAAUAAAACAAAAGAAAAUAUUUUUUUUUUUUGGGUUUUUAGAAUAAUAAAGCGUAUUGCUAGGAUGAGCUCUUAGUUGCUUCACAGGGUUCGAUAUUUAAUUCGCGCUAAGUAAAAUUACUACCGCAUCUAAUUGUCGUAUUUUAAUAAAAGCGAUGCUCCAGGCGAAAGCCGUUCUCACUUCCAGCUCUCACAACUCUCAUCAUGAAAUUAUAAAAUACUUAUCAAAGUAGUUUUCGUGCUAAAUAAAAUUACUACACCACCUAGUUGUCGUAUUUUAAUAAAGUCGAUGCUCCAGGCGAAAGCCGUUCU